CGACCGCGUGAGCGAUGAAGGCCUUCGGGUCGUAAAGCUCUGUUGUUAGGGAAGAACAAGUAUCGGAGUAACUGCCGGUACCUUGACGGUACCUAACCAGAAAGCCACGGCUAACUACGUGCCAGCAGCCGCGGUAAUACGUAGGUGGCAAGCGUUGUCCGGAAUUAUUGGGCGUAAAGCGCGCGCAGGCGGUCCUUUAAGUCUGAUGUGAAAGCCCACGGCUCAACCGUGGAGGGUCAUUGGAAACUGGAGGACUUGAGUACAGAAGAGGAAAGUGGAAUUCCACGUGUAGCGGUGAAAUGCGUAGAGAUGUGGAGGAACACCAGUGGCGAAGGCGACUUUCUGGUCUGUAACUGACGCUGAGGCGCGAAAGCGUGGGGAGCAAACAGGAUUAGAUACCCUGGUAGUCCACGCCGUAAACGAUGAGUGCUAAGUGUUAGAGGGUUUCCGCCCUUUAGUGCUGCAGCUAACGCAUUAAGCACUCCGCCUGGGGAGUACGGCCGCAAGGCUG
rnacentral:rRNA from 1 species